UACAGAGGGUGCAAGCGUUGUUCGGAAUUAUUGGGCGUAAAGGGCGCGUAGGCGGUGCGGUAAGUCUGUAGUGAAAUCUCUGGGCUCAACUCAGAGUCUGCUGCAGAAACUGCCGUGCUUGAGUGUGGGAGAGGUGAGUGGAAUUCCCGGUGUAGCGGUGAAAUGCGUAGAUAUCAGGAGGAACACCCGUAGCGAAGGCGGCACUCUGGGCCGAUACUGACACUGAGGAGCGAAAGCGUGGGGAGCGAACAGG
rnacentral:rRNA from 1 species